UAGUAUCAGCGUGUCAGCCGCCGCGGUAAUACGGAGGGUGCGAGCGUUGUCCGGAUUUAUUGGGUUUAAAGGGUGCGUAGGUGGCUAAUUAAGUCAGUGGUGAAAUACAGCCGCUUAACGGUUGAGGUGCCAUUGAUACUGACUAGCUUGAAAGAAUUGGAGGCUGCCGGAAUGGAUGGUGUAGCGGUGAAAUGCAUAGAUAUCAUCCAGAACACCGAUUGCGAAGGCAGGUGGCUACGAUUUAUUUGACACUGAGGCACGAAAGCAUGGGGAGCAAAACAGGAUUAGAUACCCUGGUAGUCCAUGCCGUAAACGAUGAGGACUCGCUGUUGGCAUUCAAUUGUCAGCGGCUUAGGGAAACCGUUAAGUCCUCCACCUGGGGAGUACGCCGGCAACGGUGAAACUCAAAGGAAUUGACGGG
rnacentral:rRNA from 1 species